ACCAACCGCCUCGUCACCCUCGUCCUCCCACCUCGCCGCCGGCCCUCCCCUCCGUUCCUCCCACAUCGCUGCUCUGGAGGCUAUCGGAUCCGCCUCAUCUCCCAUCUACCCAUCCCUCUCACAUCCCAUCUCUCUCUUUCUUGAUGCAGCUCCUCGUUGCGCCACCUGCGGCGGCUGAUUCAGGCGACGUUCGGCGAAUCCCGCCAUGCCCGAGGUCCCAUCACACGGUGGUGCCCUCCCAUGCAGCUAGAUCUGGCGCCCGCGGCUACCAAAGCCCACCCGCGACCUUCCCGCGAUGGCUAGGGUUUCAGACGUCGGCGCCGGCGCCGGCGCUAGUGGCCAUGUCCUCCUUCUCGUAUGGAGUCUGAUGGUGAGGUUAUUUAGGUGGAGGUAGUAGCUUGCUAAUGGUGGCUUUCAUGUCCAGCUUAAAUACUAGAGGACAUGGACCUGUUGGAGGAAGCACGGACACCUUUGUUUUAGUGAGCAGGUGAAUUAAUAAUCCACAUUGUUUCUUCUAUGAUGUUGCUUUGAUGCUGUUGAUAUGAUUCAAAACACUGAUAAAUACUUCCCUCCACGCCUGUUAAUGUACUGAUUGUUGUAUGCUCUUACUAUUCUGCACAAUUUGGAUUACUAGCUAAAUACUCGUGUGUUGCUACGGGGUAACAAACAUUCAAUUUCAUGAACACGUCAAAUGAUACACUGUUUUUUGUAGUAUGUGAUACACUGUUACCACUGCGGAGCUUUGUGAGGGCAAAAGCAUGCCAUGGCCUGCCCAGCCCUUGGAGUAAAAAUACAUGUGGUAGUACAGAUAGACGAGUAUCCCAGCUCAAGACUGCCUUGCUUGCAUGUAGCAUCGCUUCUUCACGAUUCUUUCUUGGCCUCUGGCCUCUGUUGCUUGACUCCUCUUCCUAUCCAGUAGGGUAGCAAAACGGCAAUAAGGCACGGGCCACGCGUACAGCCGCAGGGAGGUCCAGAGAGAGGUGGCGCGGAGCCACGGAGGUCGAGUCACCGGUCGCACCGCCGGAGGAAGUAGCAACGCCGAAGGUGCGGAGGCCCAAGGGCGACCCUUGUAGCGGCAGCCAGCUGGGCGAGUAGCAACCUAGACGACGAGCACUGCUGCACAAGCACAUGCGCACCCCCAAAACUCUUGUCUCUAGGACAGUACUAAUUUUUGUAUAAAAUGUAGGUUAUAACUUAUAACACUUUGAAAUUCAAUCAAUUGAUAAUACACAUCUUAAUUUGGUAAUAGAUAAUUGUCAUGGAUAGCAAGGCUAAUCAACGCGGAAUCAAUUUGGUUUUCAAGAGAAAAAGAGAUGUAAAGCUGGGAAAGAUUUAUCAGCAGCAGCUCUUCAUCCAUCACUUGAGUUGAAAUAUUUGUGUUUCUUUUAAUUUGGCCUGCCCAGGUUUUUCUUUGUAGCUCCACCACUGACUGUUACUUUCCAAUUAUAUUUCGAUACACUGACGUCCUUCUCUUCCUUCAGUUUGAAAAGCUAUUAUGCAACUCCCCAGUUAAAUUCCUUGGUCUUGCUAGCCUCUUCAUCUAAAAAAACUCACCAUAAUAUAGUACACAUUUUCUUGUCAUUUGGUUAUGUGAUUGUCCUCUCAUAGCAUGCAAUUGUUAUAUAUGUACUUGGGUCAAGUCAACGUAGAGGAUUCAUCUAUAUCAAGUACUGAUCUACUAAUCUAAAAAAAGGUACUUAUCUACUACCGCCGUACAUCAUAGUGAACAUAAAACUGAAUCCCAGUACCUCACUUAGAUGCAACCUACACCUGAGCUUUAUUCAUUUUCAUGUGCAAACAUGCAUAUACUAAAGCUUGCAGCAAGCACACGCACAUAUACACCGGUAGCGGCUCACUGUUAAUCAUCAUGUUUGUCAUUUGUUAAGUAGAGGCUCACUGUUUGUUUGUGCAGAGGUUUCCAAAGAAAGAAAUACUCAAUGUCAUUUGGUGCUUUAGAGUGUGCCAGACUCUACAUUCAUAGUACAUCACUGAGUUUUACCCUCAACUAAGAUUAUUUCCGUUGUGGUGAUUAUUUGUUUAUUCCUUUAUUGCAUAGAUUAGCUCUAACCAUUUUUCAGCCUCCUUUUGUGCUCUUAUUUAACUAUUUAUGUACUCCCCAAUGGUGUACCUACUGUUGUGUGUAAUUUAAUGUGAGGUGCCACACCCAUCCGUUCCGGGACUACCAAGAUGGAGGCCAACACCAUGGACGGCUGGAGCUUCUAGUAGAUUUGUCCAAGAUACGACAGUGUUCAUAGUCAUAGUUUUGAUUCAAAAAAUAUAUGGACGAUUAUAUGGGUGCAUGGCAAGUAUACUGCACUGAUGAUGAUGAUGUUCUGGUUCACGAUGAUGACGAUGAUGUUUGUUUUCAGUUUUAGUUAUGAUGGCUGUUUUCAGUUUUAGUUAGGUUGUAGGGAUGCUGUUCCUGUUGGAUGAUGUUCCUCGGUUAAGUUUUAGUUAAGUUGUAGGGAUGUUGAUGGAUGCUGUCAGUUUAAGUUUCGCUGUCAAGAGAAUAUUUAGAUUAUGCAUCACAUUUGGAU